rnacentral:lncRNA from 1 species
UUUUUGAUGUUUGAUAAAGUUUCGGAGAAUUUGGCGUAUUUGGAGUCAACUAUCUAUACACCGGAUUUUUUGGUCAAAAUACACCCAUUCACCAAAAAAACUCGGCGAAUCCACCAUUUUUUCGCCCACCAAAUAGGUGUUUUUUCAUUCACCGUGAAUUCGCCAAAGAUUAUUCGCCAGACUAUAUAACAUAAAAAAAAAAAAAAAACACAACCUAAAACUCGAUCUCUCUCUCUCUCUCUAAUGGCGGCCGCAACCUAAAACUCGAUCUCUCUUUCUCACCCUCACCACCGCAAGAAAGCAUGAUUAGGUGUUGGCGCUCAAAAGUCACCACCACGUCAUGGAGAAAUUUGAAAUUUCUUUCCAAUCCAAAUUCUUAUUU